rnacentral:rRNA from 1 species
UACCAGCACCCCGAGUGGUCGGGACGAUUAUUGGGCCUAAAGCAUCCGUAGCCGGUUCUGCAAGUCCCCCGUUAAAUCCAGCUGCUCAACAGAUGGGCCGCGGAGGAUACUACAGAGCUAGGAGGCAGGAGAGGCAAGCGGUACUCAGUGGGUAGGGGUAAAAUCCGUUGAUCCAUUGAAGACCACCAGUGGCGAAGGCGGCUUGCCAGAAUGCGCCCGACGGUGAGGGAUGAAAGCUGGGGGAGCAAACCGG